rnacentral:misc_RNA from 1 species
GAUGAAGAACGUAGUGAAAUGCGAUAAGUAAUGUGAAUUGCAGAAUUCAGUGAAUCAUCGAAUCUUUGAACGCACAUUGCGCCCCUUGGUAUUCCGAGGGGCAUGCCUGUUCGAGCGUCAUUAUAACCCCUCAAGCUCAGCUUGGUGUUGGGGCCUGCUGCACUGGCAGCCCUUAAAAUCAGUGGCGGCGCCAUCUGGCUCUAAGCGUAGUAAUUCUUCUCGCUAUGGAGUCCUGGUGGAUGCUUGCCAUCAACCCCCAAUUUUUCUAUGGUUGACCUCGGAUCAGGUAGGGAUACCCGCUGGACUUAAGCAUAUCAAUAAGCGGAGGA